rnacentral:rRNA from 1 species
GCGAAAACUUUACAAUGCUGGAAACAGCGAUAAGGGGACCUCGAGUGCCAGGUUACAAAUCUGGCUGUCGUGAUGCCUAAAAAGCAUUGCAUAGCAAGGGCCGGGCAAGACCGGUGCCAGCCGCCGCGGUAACACCGGCGGCUCAAGUGGUGGCCGCUAUUAUUGGGCUUAAAGGGUCCGUAGCCGGACCAGUUAGUCCCUUGGGAAAUCUUACGGCUUAACCGUAAGGCUGCCAAUGGAUACUGCUGGUCUUGGGACCGGGAGAGGCAAGAGGUACCUCAGGGGUAGGAGUGAAAUCCUGUAAUCCUUGAGGGACCGCCAGUGGCGAAGGCGUCUUGCUAGAACGGGUCCGACGGUGAGGGACGAAAGCUGGGGGCACGAACCGGAUUAGAUACCCGGGUAGUCCCAGCCGUAAACGAUGCUCGCUAGGUGUCAGGUGCGGUGCGACCGCAUUUGGUGCCGUCGUGAAAACUUGAAGCGAGUCACCUGGGAAGUACGGUCGCAAGGCUGAAACU